AGAGUUUGAUCAUGGCUCAGGAUGAACGCUAGCGGCAGGCUUAAUACAUGCAAGUCGAGGGGCAGCACGAGGUAGCAAUACUUUGGUGGCGACCGGCAAACGGGUGCGGAACACGUACAGAACCUUCCUUCGAGCGGGGAAUAGCCCGGAGAAAUCCGGAUUAAUACCCCAUAGUAAAUUGAAAAGGCAUCUUUUUAAUUUUAAAGAUUUAUCACUUGAAGAUGGCUGUGCGCCUGAUUAGGUAGUUGGCGGGGUAACGGCCCACCAAGCCUUCGAUCAGUAACUGGUGUGAGAGCACGACCAGUCACACGGGCACUGAGACACGGGCCCGACUCCUACGGGAGGCAGCAGUAAGGAAUAUUGGUCAAUGGACGCAAGUCUGAACCAGCCAUGCCGCGUGGAGGAUGAAGGUCCUCUGGAUUGUAAACUUCUUUUAUUUGGGAAGAAAUGCAUUUUUUCUAAAGUGCUUGACGGUACCAGAUGAAUAAGCACCGGCUAACUCCGUGCCAGCAGCCGCGGUAAUACGGAGGGUGCAAGCGUUAUCCGGAUUUACUGGGUUUAAAGGGUGCGCAGGCGGAUAUGUAAGUCAGUGGUGAAAUCUUUGGGCUUAACCCGAAAAUUGCCAUUGAUACUAUAUAUCUUGAAUGCUGUGGAGGUAAGCGGAAUAUGUCAUGUAGCGGUGAAAUGCUUAGAGAUGACAUAGAACACCUAUUGCGAAGGCAGCUUACUACGCAGAUAUUGACGCUCAUGCACGAAAGCGUGGGGAUCAAACAGGAUUAGAUACCCUAGUAGUCC
rnacentral:rRNA from 1 species